CACGGACCGCACGAACGUUAUUCGGUAUCACUGGGCUUAAAGGGUGCGUAGGCGGCCUUGCAAGUUGGGUGUGAAAGCCCUCGGCUUAACCGAGGAACUGCGCUCAAUACUGCCGGGCUCGAGAGAGACAGAGGUAAGCGGAACUAAUGGUGGAGCGGUGAAAUGCGUUGAUAUCAUUAGGAACACCGGUGGCGAAGGCGGCUUACUGGGUCUUUUCUGACGCUGAGGCACGAAAGCCAGGGGAGCGAACGGG
rnacentral:rRNA from 1 species